rnacentral:rRNA from 1 species
UACAGAGGUCUCAAGCGUUGUUCGGAUUCAUUGGGCGUAAAGGGUGCGUAGGCGGCGCAGUAAGUAGGGUGUGAAAUCCCUCGGCUUAACCGAGGAACUGCGCCCUAAACUACUGUGCUCGAGGGAGAUAGAGGUGAGCGGAACUUAGGGUGGAGCGGUGAAAUGCGUUGAUAUCCUAAGGAACACCAGUGGCGAAGGCGGCUUACUGGUCCGGUUCUGACGCUGAGGCGCGAAAGCGUGGGGAGCAAACAGG